rnacentral:rRNA from 1 species
UACGUAGGGUGCGAGCGUUGUCCGGAAUUAUUGGGCGUAAAGGGCUCGUAGGCGGUUUGUCGCGUCGGGAGUGAAAACCUCGGGCUUAACUCGGGGCUUGCUUCGAUACGGGCAGACUAGAGGUAUGCAGGGGAGAACGGAAUUCCUGGUGUAGCGGUGAAAUGACGCAGAUAUCAGGAGGAACACCGGUGGCGAAGGCGGUUCUCUGGGCAUGAUCUGACGCUGAGGAGCGAAAGUGUGGGGAGCGAACAGG